rnacentral:rRNA from 1 species
GAUGAACGCUGGCGGCGUGCCUAAUACAUGCAAGUCGAGCGAACGGACGAGAAGCUUGCUUCUCUGAUGUUAGCGGCGGACGGGUGAGUAACACGUGGAUAACCUACCUAUAAGACUGGGAUGACUUCGGGAAACCGGAGCUAAUACCGGAUAAUAUUAUGAACCGCAUGGUUCAAAAGUGAAAGACGGUCUUGCUGUCACUUAUAGAUGGAUCCGCGCUGCAUUAGCUAGUUGGUAAGGUAACGGCUUACCAAGGCAACGAUGCAUAGCCGACCUGAGAGGGUGAUCGGCCACACUGGAACUGAGACACGGUCCAGACUCCUACGGGAGGCAGCAGUAGGGAAUCUUCCGCAAUGGGCGAAAGCCUGACGGAGCAACGCCGCGUGAGUGAUGAAGGUCUUCGGAUCGUAAAACUCUGUUAUUAGGGAAGAACAUAUGUGUAAGUAACUGUGCACAUCUUGACGGUACCUAAUCAGAAAGCCACGGCUAACUACGUG